AACGAACGCUGGCGGCAUGCCUAACACAUGCAAGUCGAACGAGAUCUUCGGAUCUAGUGGCGCACGGGUGCGUAACGCGUGGGAAUCUGCCCUUUGGUUCGGAAUAACAGUUGGAAACGACUGCUAAUACCGGAUGAUGACGUAAGUCCAAAGAUUUAUCGCCAGAGGAUGAGCCCGCGUAGGAUUAGCUAGUUGGUGUGGUAAGAGCGCACCAAGGCGACGAUCCUUAGCUGGUCUGAGAGGAUGAUCAGCCACACUGGGACUGAGACACGGCCCAGACUCCUACGGGAGGCAGCAGUGGGGAAUAUUGGACAAUGGGCGAAAGCCUGAUCCAGCAAUGCCGCGUGAGUGAUGAAGGCCUUAGGGUUGUAAAGCUCUUUUACCCGGGAUGAUAAUGACAGUACCGGGAGAUAUAAG
rnacentral:rRNA from 1 species